GACACUUGGCUAAUUUUUAAAUUGUUUUGUGGACAUGGGGUCUCACUUUGUUGGCCUGGCUGGUGUCAAACUCCUGGCCUUAAGUAACCCUUUCACCCCUGCCUCCCAUCCUAGAAGUAUGAGCUGCCACAAUGAGCACUUCUUCAAUUUUCUAAACAAAUAAAACAUUUCUAAAGUAAGGCUGUAGGAUGAUGGCAGGAAGAUAAAAAUAGAAAAACAGAAGAAUAAGUUCAAAUGACUUACACAUAUUCUUUUCACAGCAAAAACUUUUAGUAUAUACAUUCCUUGCAAACAUAAGGCAAAUAAACAGUGUUGUAUAGGAACGUCAAUACACACUGUACAAUAUUCCCACUUUGCUGACAUGAGUUAUGGAAAUUUUGUGGUUUACUGGAGUAUUACUAUCAGUAUUUUGCUUCUCUGAUCAUUUUUAUGAACUUCCUUAUCUGUUAACUUCUCUCCAAGGUAUGUCAUAUCGUGACAUACUGCUGCUGCACAAACAUGGCCAGUGUCUUCCUCUUAAACAUGUUGAAUGCUUUCUUAAUUUCUUUUACCCUCUGUCUCUGUGUUUUGCAUUUUUCUUACCUUUAUUGUCAGGAACUCCAGAAAGUCAGUCAUACUAAUUUAUCGCCAUUUGCUUUAUUAAUUUAUACUUUGCUUAUAUGGAAUUUUGCCCAACAGGCCUCAUUACAAUUUCUAACCUGUUUUGUUUUAUUUUGUUUUUUUCUGAGACAGAGUCUCGUUCUGUUGUCCAGUCUGGAGUGUAGUAGUACUAUCACAGUUGACUGCAGCCUCAACCUCCCAGGCUCAAGCAAUCCUCCCGUCUCAGCCUCCCACGUGGCUGAGACUAUAGGUGCUUGCCACUAUGCCCAACUAAUAUUUGGAAUUUUCCUAUACGUGGGUUCCAGAGGGGUGACAGCGAAACAUGGGACCAUCUAGUCGCAGGAAAACAAGCUUAACAUGCCCACUGAUUCUACAUUAUGGUGAGUUCUAUAAUUAUUAUAUCACAAUUUAAUAAUGGAAAUAAAGUACCUAAUAAAUGUAACAGGGUUGGAUCUUUGGCUCCAGGUCUUGCCUCCUGGCAGCCUCUGCAGCCUCCAGGCCCCGAACUUUCUCCAGUCGGCCCUCUACAGACCAAGCUCAUGACUCACAAUGGUCUAUUUAGGCCUGUACCCUACCUCACGGCAGUCUCCACAGAUAAGGCUACUGCCUCACAACAGCCUCCACAGGCCCAGCUCCAUCGCACACGGCCUCUUUAGAGCCAGCUCCUGCCUCCCAGUCUCUCUCCAGGUCCAGAACUUUCUCAAGUCGACCUCACCAGACACAGCUCCUGCCUCUCACUUACCUCCCAAGGGCCAGCUUUUGCCUCACGGCCACCUUCCGAGACCCAGCUCCUGUUUUACGGUGGCCUCACUACAGGCUGCGCUUUUACUUUUGGCUGUGCCUGGAGGCCCAACUCCUGCCUCAGAACAACCUCUUUUGGCUCAGCUCCUGCCCAGUUCCUGGUGGCCUUUGAAGGCCCAAAAGUGCCUCAAGUCAAGCUUUCCAGGCCCACCCUCUGCCUCCCAGUGGCCUGGACAGGCCCAGCUCCUCCGUAACAAUGGCCUCUCCAGGCCCACCUUUUGCCUCACGGACAUGUUCCCCAAACAAGCUCCUACCUGCCUCCCGGCCAGCUCGACGGGCACAGAUCCUGCCUCACACUAACCUCGUUAGGCCCAGCUCAUGCCUCACUGUGGCCUG